UCGGGUGUGGUGCAUGGUGCACAGCUUUGCGAAGUGAGAUCUUCGUUUUGUGCCAUCUCACAGCAGACCGGGGUUCGACUCCCCGCACCCGAA